AUUGAGUUUGAUCCUGGCUCAGAUUGAACGCUGGCGGCAUGCCUUACACAUGCAAGUCGAACGGAAACGCGGGGCUUCCUGGCGACGAGUGGCGAACGGGUGAGUAAUGUAUCCUAGCGUGCCCAAUUGUGGGGGAUAACUGCUGCUAAGACCAGCUGAUACCGCCUACGACCUGAUGGUGAAACCGGGGGAUCGCCCGACCUCGCGCAAUUGGAUCGGGCGAUAUCGGAUUACGUAGUUGGUGGGGUAAAGGCCUACCAGACCUACGAUCUGUAGCUGGGCUGAUAGGACGACCAGCCACACUGGGACUGAGACACAGCCCAGACUCCUACGGGAGGGGCAGAGGGGAAUUUUGGACAAUGGGGGCGCCCUGAUCCAGCCAUGCCGCGUGCGGGACUAAGGCCUUCGGGUUGUAUACCGCUUUUGUCAGAAAGAAAUCCUUUGAACUAAUACUUCGGAGGGAUGACGGUACCUGAAGAAUAAGCACCGGCUAACUACACUGCCACCAGCCGCGGUAAUACGUAGGGUGCAGGCGUUAUCGGAAUUACUGGGCUUAACCUUGCGCUGCCUUUAUGCUAGACAGAUGUGAAAUCCCCGGGCUUAACCUGAAUAACUGCAUUUGUGACUGCAUUCUAGAUACGGUAAGGGGGAUGGAAUUCCACGUGUAGACUGAAAUGCGUUGAUAUGUGAAGUGAACACCGAUGGCGAAGGCAAUCCCCUGGACCUGUACUGACGCUCAUGCACUAAAGCGUGAUGGAUAACUGUGAUUACAUACGCUGCCUGUCCGCGCCCUAUACGAUGUCAACUGAUCCGUUGUGAGGAUUUCUUCUCAAUAACUUAACUAACGCGUGAUGACGAGCG
rnacentral:rRNA from 1 species